GAUGCAGCAUGAUCCAAGUGAAAGCUACAAGAAAAAAGCAUCACUAUAGCUAUUAAGUGGCAAAGAUGGAGACAGGGAUGAGGGAGGAAAGAGAGAGAGAGAGGUGAAAGAAUUUUGAUUCAGAAAGCAAAGGCAGAGAGUGGAACUGGAAACCACAAAUUGAACUAAAAGAAGGGCAAUAUUAAAUUAUUUUUUCUUUAUGGAAAUCUUAAGUACUAUCAGGCCCUUAAAACUUCAAUAAAACUUUCAGAAAGAAUUAUCAUCCAUUAUGAAUCACCUAAAAAGAGAAACGAACAAUUAAAAGAGCAAAACUUCCAUAAACUUUACAUCUCACCCUAUUUUUGUAGCUGUCCACUAUUAACCACCCUUCUAACGUCACGUGCCUAGCUCCAUGCUAAGGCAACAAAACCACUGAGCAAGCAUACAACACUCAUAUUUUUUUUUCUAAUUCUGACACCCCUGUACAUCUUUCCUUUUACAUAUUCUCAUGCAUCUAAGUAUCUAAUGCAAUUGUUACAUCAACAUCACAUUAUAUCCUGAAAACAAUCAUUCAUGUAAAAAAUAAAAGUGCCAUCACCUACAGAAAAGAAAAGGCAUAGUGCAAUACUAAGUUUCAUUCAACAAAGUCACUACAAGAUAGAUGAUACCCCCUUCGCAAAUGAUUAGUUUAUGCUAGCCAAAUUAUUGACACUAGCAUGCACCCUAAUAAGAAAUAGAAAUCAGUUAUGUGAACUUAAAAUAUAGUCUUCUGGUGCAGCAAAUGAAAACUCACACAUAACAAGCAACUAAAUUAAGCAAAUAUAUGAGAAAGAAAUACAUACUGGGUGAUGAGAAGUACAUCAAUA
rnacentral:misc_RNA from 1 species